CAGGAGGAGAGGCUAACAAGGUUUUCAGACAACAUUGAUCACCAGUGGACGCUACUCUAAUUCCUAACUUUUCCAAAUACCAUCAAAACAAAGUUGUGAACCAACACUUACUGAAGAUUUGAGGAAAAUGAUGAAAACUAGUAGUACUGUACUGUAUAAGCAGCAACUAAAAGCUGAAUAUUAGCCAUUAUUCGACUACAUUUUGUUGACUAUUUGUCAUCUUAGAAUAUUUCCUAUGGACUCCUUCCUCUAUGGACCAGAUUUAAUGUAACUGUUUAUGUUGCCUGCUCUGUCCCUCCACCUCCUUUUUCCAGUUGCCCAGAGAUGUCAAACUUUUCUUGUAUAACUAUGGAAAAUGGCUAUCUUAUAUUGUUUUACUUACUCUCAUCUAGCUUAAGCCCUUUAGUAUCUUCUAAAUUCACUGACAAACAGACCUUGUCUUAUUAAUUAAAAAAAUCACUUACUCCAUAGCCUAAUUAUGCAACUUUCCUAGAUAAUACGUGUCAUAUUUUUCGUAAAAUUAUAUUUCCC
rnacentral:lncRNA from 1 species